CUCCUCAUUACAUUUCACCUGCCGCCUUGUGGCCUUAUGAAGUCAUUCCUGCUGCGAGAGGUGACUCUGUUACGAGCCUCCUGCCUGUCAGAAUGCAUCCUUAGCCCCUCCCCCUCUACAGGUACCCCCCUGAGUGUGACGCUGUGGGUGUGGCCUGGGCCUAGCGGGGUCACGUUUCUCCUCUGGCGUGUCUGGGAUAGAGAGUGCCACCUGAAGCACGUGAAUAAGGUUUUCGGGGGGGGGGGUUGAGGGGGUUGAGGGGCUUUCCAUGGGUUCAUGGUGCUGCACCUUCCACCGGUCCAGGAAGUUGCUGUUCCUCUUCCCUGCAGGGAGAGGAAGUGAGGUCACUCUCUGCCUCCCUGACACUCCUUGAUUCCCAUUACCCUGAGUCUGUCGGGACCAGUGUUGCCUUUUUAAAAAAAAGAUGUGCCUGAGCAGAGGAAUAGGGAUGAAAGUGGCCUCUGGUCUGAUAGCAGUAUCAAAACCCGUCCGGGUGCCUGUGGGCUGACCCCCCCCCCCCCCCACCGCACUCUCUGUAAAAGCGCAUUAAUAAACCGGGCUGUCGGUGAGAGGGGUUUGGGAGCAGGUGCGCUGGUGCGACAGGUGAGCAGGUGCGCUGGUGCGACAGGCGAGCAGGUGUGCGGGUGCGACAGGCGAAGGUCCGAUGCAGUGUGCGAGUAGCGGUCCGUUUCUGCCUCGAUAUCCCCCCGUACUCUAACAUGGGCUGUGGCUCCAGGCACUCCGGGGAUUUUAUCAUUAACACGUUUUGUACACUCCAUAUUUUUUCACCUUCACGGUUUCAUUUUAUUAAAUAGAAUUAUGUAGUUUUUUGGUGAUUUCAACUGUGUGCUACUCAUUGAUAUUUGGAAGAUUCCUGUUCACCUGGGUCACCAUUAAAAAGAGUUCAGAAUGAACGCCGUUGCCUGUCCUGUUUUCACUGUUUGUCACCUUCCACCUGUAGGCAAACAUUUGGUGACCAAGGUUUCCUCUGCCCAUACUGAGAAUGUUCUGGAACUGUCCCAGGGGUGUGGACCUGCUGCGUCAGGCUGGUACCCCAAGACCCAGGCUCACUGAAACCCUUUACCAGUUUAGCAGGCUGGCUGAUUUCUCUCACUUUGUAAACCCAGACUGGGCAAGAACAUGACCAAGAGAAACGGCUGGGCUAUGUCAUUGAAGAAUAUACUGAUCAAUAUAAUGAGUUGAGAUACAAUAGUCUGUUUUGAUUAAUAAUUACUCCUUGUGAUUUAUCCAAUAUCAUUAUUUUUGUCUGGUUGCCGUUUUAUGAUCUGUAUUGAUGGUAAUCUUGGUUGAAUUGUUUUUCAUAAUCAUUUCUCUGUGAUGAGGAAAAAGCGAGUGUGAAUGUGGGACCUAAAAUAAAAUUAUAAAUGGACAAAAGCCACUUCUCUUCCAAUUACAACGAAUCAGAUGCGAUUCAUUAUGGUAGAAUAAUCCCCUUUCAGAGCUCUGUUUCCAUGGUUCCUUUUGAAAAUAUUACACACUUAAAAAGUCAAAGUCAUGUGUCCCCUUUGUUUUUGUGUAGAAAGUAAAAUGCAGCCAGCAUAUGCUACAAACCUCAAGAGUCCCUCUGUACCAAGUAACAUGAGCUUUAACUGCAGUAAUGCGAAGUCAAGAAGCGGUGGACGACCGCAGCUCAAACCAACAACGAGACGCGGGAACUCUGCGUACUUACAUGGACAGACUCUUUAAGACCACAAUCAGUCGCGAUCCUGUGGACGGCGAACGAGAAGCCCAGGCUGCCGUAAACGACGCGUGCAUUGGUUAUGCAAAGAAAUGUUUUGUCCUGUGCUUUUUAAAAUAUGAUUAGCCGUUACACCUAUACGACUGCUUGUGCACUGCAUGAUUUGUAAGUGUAUUAUUUUUCAAAUAAAUAACCCAGCAUCUAUGGAAAAACCUUGUAAAAUUAUGCAAAUUAAUCGCCGAUAAGUUAUUCUACCAGCUGUAACGUUAACUUGCAAAAACAGAAAAGGUUAACUAGUUGCAUUCACAGCUGGUUAGCAAUGGUAGCUCUUCAGUGCACUUACUGAGCUUGCCACCUUGCGUUAACUAUGAAGAAGUAGUUAUUCAAAACAUGUACGUGUUGGCUCGAUAUCAUUUGAGGUCAUGUUUGAAUGCAAAGUUGGUUCGACAGAAAAAUAUUGCAUAACCUUACAGCUGCAGAUGAGGAAGAAAACACCUAGCAGAGGAUGGUUUCGAUCCAUCGACCUCUGGGUUAUGGGCCCAGCACGCUUCCGCUGCGCCACUCUGCUCUGCGAACGCCAAGUUGGACGGUUGCGCUUAAAUAGAGGCAAAUAGUGGAACAUAUUUAAGUCUGUGUUGAUUCGUGACGAUAAGCCCAAAAUACCCCAGAAGUUUCAUACGAAAAAUUUAGGAAGACAGACGGGUUGUUCUGGAAAAAGGCAGAAAAACUUUAAUCUCAUUUUAGCGAUACAAAAAAACGUGACGGCUUGCAUAGAAGUAUACUCGUUUCAGCGUAGUCGUCGACAUACUGUACUGUUUAAUUAAUUGACUACAGUUAGCUGAAUUCGUCCUAAUUUGCUUUCACUAAGAAGCAGCGUUGUUAACGUGCUUUAAGAGUCAAUGUACGUGAUAUUGUAAGCAACCGGUUUUCAGAACGUUAAGGGCCGUUUUGUAAAGUUGCUUUCCAAUAUGGAUAAUUUGAAUAAAACACGGACACCCCAGAUGUCGAACCCACAAUCCCUGCCUUAGGAGGCCAGUAGCUUAUCAUUAGGCCACUGGGGCAUUGUUCGCAAUUUUUCAAGUUUAUAAGAAAAUAAAAGUUCAUAGUAAAUAUAUGGUCCCGUAAAUUACAAUAUUAUUUUUGAAUCAAGAUAUCGGUCUUCACAAGUGAUUACAUAAUACAGAACAGGUCGUAUUUUAUGAGGUCUUCCUAAACUGACGAAAUAUUUAUUGAAUCGAGUAAAACCAAAUUUAAUGCUACAUAGCAAUUCCAUUCGGGUCAGACCUGCAAAAGCCACGCCCAUCGACGUAGUUUUCAACACCUGAAUUCACUUUUUUAAAGCCACCCAGCCGCAAUUGAUUAUUUAAUUCAGUUGAGUUUUUAUAGAUUUCAAAUGUAUUUUUUGUUAUUUCGCUCCAUAUAGACCAGAUUUUGCCAUUGCUGGCUCAAGUUUUUAAUAGUUUUUCAAGAGCACAGGCGUUUAUUUCAGGCUCAAAACCGUUGACGUAUCCAGCGACGUAUUUUGCAAUAUUAUUAUUAGGUACGGUUGAAAAUGGAUAGCUGUCUUCAUAACCUAACGUUAUAUUAUUUAACUAGCCUUAAUUUUCCCUUUUUUUAUAGGGAAAGUGCUUUUCGUGGAAACAACGGCAGUACAUGUGUGAACUCUUUCGGUUCUUGGCUAACGUUAGCUACGUCUGGUAUUAGCAUCUUGAUAAGUCACGUAAACUAAAAUGUAUUUGGCUUCAGUAGCUGUUAAAAUCUUGGAAAGCGUGUCAGCCUGUGCCGGGGAACACAAACGGCAUCCCUGGGUAGAAUUGCAGUUAUGGCUGAAGGGAACAGAGCGGCACAUGCAAGGCGGAGCAUGAGCUUCAGACCACGCCCACCACCUCACCUUGGCCCCUCCCACAGCUCCUCCCCUCCGUGAGCAGGUGAGACAGGAAUCGGGCGCAGGACUUGAACAGGUCCUGUGGGACGGGAGGAACGGCAUUUGAAUUAUAUUUUAAUAGAUAAGGCAGCAGGCCGCUGGAGGUCCAGAGGUGGAUUGUUUUCAUAUGAGGGAGAGAGAGGGAAAGGGGGGUGAGAGAGAGAGAGGGAGAGAGAGACGGAGAACUGUAUUUUUUAAAUGCACAAUAAACUCAUUUUCUCAGCUGCCCUUACUCUCACCUUGGUAGCAAAUUUUCCCUGAGAAUAAAGGGGGUCCAGGUAGUGAACCACGAUGUCAGCCGCCUCCUUCAGAGUAACAGCCUUGUCCGGUGCUCCAAGUAUCGUCGCAGUCUUCUCCACUCCCUUCUUCAGAGUCCCAGUCUUUCCUCCCCCUUUCUUCAGAGUCACAGUCUUCUCUGGAGCACUGAGUACUGUCACAGUCUUCUCCACUCCCUUCUUCAGAGUCACAGUCUUCCCUCCUUCCUGUGGAGUCACAGUCUUCCCUCCCCCCUCCUGUGCAGUCGUCUCUGGAACCUGCACUGCCUCCGUAGCUGCCUGGCUCUCAUGUUUCUCCUGCACGCUGGA